CUACGGGCCGCAGCAGUGAGGAAUUUUGCGCAAUGGGGGAAACCCUGACGCAGCAACGCCGCGUGAGUGAUGAAGGCCCUCGGGUCGUAAAGCUCUGUCAAGUGGGAAGAAUCUAUCGAUAUUGAAUAGAUAUUGAUACUGACGGUACCACAAGAGGAAGCACCGGCUAACUCCGUGCCAGCAGCCGCGGUAAUACGGGGGGUGCAAGCGUUAUUCGGAAUCAUUGGGCGUAAAGGGCGCGCAGGCGGCCUUGUCAGUCAGAUGUGAAAGCCCGGGGCUCAACCCCGGAAGUGCAUUUGAAACUAUGAGGCUUGAGUAUGGGAGAGGGAAGUGGAAUUCCUGGUGUAGCGGUGAAAUGCGUAGAUAUCAGGAGGAACACCGGUGGCGAAGGCGACUUCCUGGACCAAUACUGACGCUGAGGCGCGAAGGCGUGGGGAGCAAACAGGAUUAGAUACCCGCGUAGUC
rnacentral:rRNA from 1 species